rnacentral:rRNA from 1 species
CCUACGGGCGGCAGCAGUGGGGAAUAUUGCACAAUGGAGGGAACUCUGAUGCAGCGACGCCGCGUGAGCGAUGAAGGUCUUCGGAUCGUAAAGCUCUGUCCUAAGGGACGAUAAUGACGGUACCUUAGGAGGAAGCUCCGGCUAACUACGUGCCAGCAGCCGCGGUAAUACGUAGGGAGCAAGCGUUGUCCGGAUUUAUUGGGCGUAAAGGGUGCGUAGGCGGCCUGAUAAGUCAGAUGUGAAAGGCGGAGGCUCAACCUCCGUUAGCAUCUGAAACUGCCAGGCUUGAGUGAAGGAGAGGAAAGUGGAAUUCCUAGUGUAGCGGUGAAAUGCGUAGAUAUUAGGAGGAAUACCGGUGGCGAAGGCGACUUUCUGGACUUAAACUGACGCUGAGGCACGAAAGUGUGGGGAGCAAACAGGAUUAGAUACCCUGGUAGUC